rnacentral:misc_RNA from 1 species
GGGUCUUUUUUCCUGCUCUCUGUGCCUGAGGGGAGCGUGCUUGACUACAUGCGGCGACAACUUCCGCUGCACCCACGCCCCAUCUGGUGCACUCCACACUGACGCACUCGUUUGGCAUGUGCUGUAUUGGACUGUCUGCCGUGGCGGCCCAAGCAGGAUUGCAAACGCGCCAUGGUGCACUAAGUCGCACUAUUGCACGAUGCACGUCCUCGUGUCCCCAUCCAUGACAUUGCCCCUCCGUGCUGGAAUUGAGCACGUCGCGUUGCGGCAGCCAUUCCAGUGGUCAUCAACGACCUCCAGCGCCUGCGUUGCCGGCAUGCAACCGAAAACGUGAUGAGACAUGAUCUCACAGUACCACGCCGUUCGCUGGACGUCAGGGGCUGCGACGCGUCAGCAUUAAUCGUGCAACUGUCAAAAGGGAGUCUCACCAGCGUGAUCGCGGCAGCGGAAUCGACUGCCGCGCGUGCCCACGCUCAGCUACUGGGCUCACAGGAUACGUGUAGGAGCAUAAUCAUCACCUUCGUUGGUGAAAAGAAUGUUCAGCCGUUUGACGACACAACCAACAGCGUCCGAACUGUCCAGCCUCUCGAGUGUGCCAGCCGGUAGCUGCGACUGUGCGCUCUUCUCCUGACGCUCGGUGACACAUCCGCUGUACGGCACGUACCUGCAGCUUCACGGGUGCUCCUUACUACGCCGUAGGAGGUGCAUGUCGAUAACGAUGCUAGCACGGUUAAGUUGUCACAAGCGACAGUACCGCAGAUUCGAGGUGCUUGUUGCUGGAUGCUUCAGCGGCAUAUCUCAGAACGGUGUCGCUCCGCCCAGGGGGGAACUGAGCGUACGGUGCGUUGUGUGCUCCUCCACAUCCUCACGCAAGCUUGUGGACAGGUGGUUCUCGGCUUCCACACGUCACUGUUGAGGAUUGGAGUAGGUGCCGGUGUGAUAUACGCACGCUCACUGCACCCAAGAGCCUCAGCAGCCCCGGCCUAACAGGCGGGGAGUGCACGACCCUACUCGCCGUCGAGGUGUGUCCCCACAUGUGCGUGUGGACCGCUCCUGCUGCGAGGCUCUGCGGAGUCGGCCGCCGCUGUAACGGGCGCCGUGACUUGCGGUCACGAACGCGCCUCAGAGUAGUCGGUGCAGCCACUUGCAACCCCGGCAUGCGCCAGGCGCAUUAGUCCCCAUCAGUAUCCGCAGUUGUCAUCGGGUACGGUGUCUUGCACCACCGUCCGGCAGCUCACUUCUGGAAAGGGCUGUCGCGACGAACGGUCGACUACGAAGAUCUACUGGACUUGAUACAUGCGUGCAACUGCUAACGGCGCAUUCGAGCUGGCGCCGUUCCCUUGAAGGCUUCGUGCAGUGAGCAUGCGCUCUAACUCUCAUGCCGUUUGUUGCUAGCAACAGCGACGCUUGCAGCAUCAACGACCCCGGCGCCUGCGUGAAGCUGGUUCUCGGUCAAUGCUAGCGAGUGCAAAAGGCUGCCUCCUUCGCCACCGCCAGCAGGUACAGCGCAAUUCGCAACUCGAGACGCUCGCUGCAGUAGCGCUUGCUUCGCGGCGUUCCUGUGCGUUGGCGGCUGAAACUGGUCGGCUCUCGCGAGUGUCUCGAACGGAGUACCCCCGCCAAGUGGUCCGACAGCACCAAGACAUGCAAGCACCACAGCCCUCCUGCCACCUUGUCUCUUGAAUGGUUUUGUGUGCGCAGCUUCCCGCUUUGGAUUGAAGGGUGCGAGACACGCGCGUUGUUCUACGACAUUGACCUCCACG